UCUGUCUUCUGUAUAUACCCUGUAGAUCCGAAUUUGUGUAAGGAAUUUUGUGGUCACAAAUUCGUAUCUAGGGGAAUAUGUAGUUGACAUAAACACUCCGCUC
rnacentral:miRNA from 1 species